ACUUGCAGGAUCUGACACAUCCUCUUGGUUUCCUAAGUCUUAUGACUAGCCAAUGCCUGAAAUAAUGAACUCCUCCAAGGCAAGAAAUCUGUUUUGAAGCUUCUCUGCGUUCACACACAGCAGCCUGGUUUCCUGGAAGGGCAUUUUCCACAUUGUGCGUUAUGGAUGAUCAUCCCAGGCAUCAGGUGUGAAGCCCUGCAUCCACAUCCAGGGGCUAUCAAAUCUCUCUGCAAAAGGAGAAGCUGGACUCAGGCACGUUUACAGUGAUGUGUAUGCAGGGUAUGCACAGAUGUGGAAACAGGAACUGAUGUGUCCAUUACACCACUAGGACAGAGGCCAGAACAAUGAAGAAACCAAAUACUUGGAAGAGGGUAGAGAUAAUGAAUGGAGUCCAAGAGCCCUGAUUGUGCCAUAAAUGUCCAGAUAAUUCCAUACCUGAGGAUUAUGUGGUUUGUAAACUUGGCACUUAGAAGAACCAAUAAAAUCAUGUUAUAGUUUCAAAAAAAAAAAA
rnacentral:lncRNA from 1 species